CCCGCCGCGCGCUGCUAUUGGUUAAGGCGCGGGGGGCGCGGUGGGGAGGCCCCGCCCAGCCCCGCUUGCCGUGGGGAGGGGGUCGCGGGGCGGGGGCUGCGCGGGGCACGUGUGGCGGGAGGGGCAGCGGGUGCUGCGGGCACCGUGUCCCCGUAACGCCCCGGCUGGGGUGUGCUGGUGGCAGCCCCGAGCGGGCAGGGCAUGGUGGUGGUCGCGGGGCUGGGCUGAGCCCCCGUUUGCAGCCCGGGGUCCCCGCUCAGUCCGGUUUGGUUUUUGUGGGUCUGAGCGUCGGCUUGGGCACGGUGCUGCACGAGGCGAGGCCAGGCUAACAAAGGCAAUGUUCCACCUUCCUUCCUAAUGCACUGGUGCUGGAAGCCGGCAUAGAGCAAAUAUCCCAGCUUCAGCCACCAGUGUGUCCGGGCACGCUGAAGCCACGACAGGUUUCUGUCCGUCCUGCCUGAUGUGCCAGCCGAUGGUGAGCAGACGCGCUGCCAUCCCCAACACCGGCAUCAAACACACCCCGGCUGCGGGCACGAGGCUGGCUGAGCCUCCCUUACCUUACCACCCCUUACCUGCAGCAGCAAGCAGCACGUCCCCACCCUGCAUCAGCCCUGCAACGAGCCCUCGUUCAGCGCAAAGAUGCGCGAAGACGAGGAGGACUCCCGUAGAAACUUGAAAAGCCUGACACGGAGAGAGGCGCGGGAGUGAGGCGGCGCGCUCCGAGCAUGACGUGAUGCACUGCUGCUUGUGCAAGGGAAGGGUACAGCCUGCUCGGCGGGGCCGUCACCGAGAUCCUGUUCUUUGUGAGAGGAGCAACCUGGAAAAAAGCCAUCUGCAACGCACCCCUUCUUUUUCCAAAGAGUGGGAUCGUGGUGACGUUGCUGAGCUGGCCGGUGGCUGGGGAGAUGGGAAGGAGAGAAAGGGGAAGCACAAGGGAGCAAAGAGAGGGCAACCAGCUGGGAAAGAAAAAGGAGCUUGUAUAAAGGACGGGUCUGACCUGCUCUGACUCCAGAGAAGUGCUUUUGAGGCUGCCUUUUGAAAACUAGGAGCGAAUAGGGCUAGGGAAGUACAAGAUGUUACUGUUUUCAUUAUGUAUUUCAUUUGUAAUUAAAAACUGUAAAUAUA